rnacentral:rRNA from 1 species
AACGAACGCUGGCGGCAGGCCUAACACAUGCAAGUCGAGCGCGCCUUCGGGUGAGCGGCGGACGGGUGAGUAACGCGUGGGAAUAUGCCCUUCUCUACGGAAUAGUCCUGGGAAACUGGGGGUAAUACCGUAUACGCCCUUUGGGGGAAAGAUUUAUCGGGGAAGGAUUAGCCCGCGUUGGAUUAGGUAGUUGGUGGGGUAAUGGCCUACCAAGCCGACGAUCCAUAGCUGGUUUGAGAGGAUGAUCAGCCACACUGGGACUGAGACACGGCCCAGACUCCUACGGGAAGCAGCAGUGGGGAAUCUUAGACAAUGGGGGCAACCCUGAUCUAGCCAUGCCGCGUGAGUGAUGAAGGCCUUAGGGUUGUAAAGCUCUUUCAGCUGGGAAGAUAAUGACGGUACCAGCAGAAGAAGCCCCGGCUAACUCCGUG